rnacentral:lncRNA from 1 species
CUCAGAUAUCUGCAAUCUAAAAUUAAAAAUUAUCUACUGCCACCCCACAUACAAUGGUGAGACAGGGCCUGAUUAACAACAAUAGCCGUUCUCAUUCAAGAUGAGAGAGACAAGAAUGACAAUAUAUUAACUUUUUAAAAUUUAUAUUGUUUAAAAUACUUGUUAUCCUCUGUAUUUUCUGUAUUUUAAAACAAUAAUAUUUAAUAUAUUAAAAAUUAAUUAUUUAUU